rnacentral:rRNA from 1 species
GACGAACGCUGGCGGCGUGCCUAAUACAUGCAAGUCGAGCGCAGGAAACUGACGGAACUCUUCGGAGGGAAGGCAGUGGAAUGAGCGGCGGACGGGUGAGUAACACGUAAGGAACCUGCCUCAAGGAUUGGGAUAACUCCGAGAAAUCGGAGCUAAUACCGGAUAGUUCAACGGACCGCAUGGUCCGCUGAUGAAAGGCGCUCCGGCGUCACCUUGAGAUGGCCUUGCGGUGCAUUAGCUAGUUGGUGGGGAACGGCCCACCAAGGCGACGAUGCAUAGCCGACCUGAGAGGGUGAUCGGCCACACUGGGACUGAGACACGGCCCAGACUCCUACGGGAGGCAGCAGUAGGGAAUCUUCCACAAUGGACGAAAGUCUGAUGGAGCAACGCCGCGUGAGUGAUGAAGGUUUUCGGAUCGUAAAACUCUGUUGUAAGGGAAGAACACGUACGAGAGGGAAUGCUCGUACCUUGACGGUACCUUACGAGAAAGCCACGGCUAACUACGUGCCAGCAGCCGCAGUAAAAC